UGAGGGGGGCUGCUCCUAGUACGAGAGGACCGGAGUGGACGCAUCACUGGUGUUCGGGUUGUCAUGCCAAUGGCACUGCCCGGUAGCUAAAUGCGGAAGAGAUAAGUGCUGAAAGCAUCUAAGCACGAAACUUGCCCCGAGAUGAGUUCUCCCUGACCCUUUAAGGGUCCUGAAGGAACGUUGAAGACGACGACGUUGAUAGGCCGGGUGUGUAAGCGCAGCGAUGCGUUGAGCUAACCGGUACUAAUGAACCGUGAGGCUUAACCUUACAACGCCGAAGCUGUU
rnacentral:rRNA from 1 species